ACGGAAGGCAGCAGUGGGGAAUAUUGCACAAUGGGGGAAACCCUGAUGCAGCGACGCCGCGUGAGUGAAGAAGUAUUUCGGUAUGUAAAGCUCUAUCAGCAGGGAAGAUAAUGACGGUACCUGACUAAGAAGCCCCGGCUAACUACGUGCCAGCAGCCGCGGUAAUACGGAGGAUGCAAGCGUUAUCCGGAUUUAUUGGGUUUAAAGGGUGCGUAGGCUGUUCUUCAAGUCAGAGGUGAAAUACCCGAGCCUAACUCGGGAACUGCCUUUGAUACUGGAGGGCUUGAAUACUGUUGCCGUGGGAGGAAUGAGUAGUGUAGCGGUGAAAUGCAUAGAUAUUACUCAGAACACCGAUUGCGAAGGCAUCUCACGAAGCAGCGAUUGACGCUGAGGCACGAAAGCGUGGGGAUCAAACAGGAUUAGAUACCCUGGUA
rnacentral:rRNA from 1 species